AGAGCGUCUCGUGAGCUCGGACGAGUCCCGCAGUACCCGUGUCACGUGUUUGUGUCAGACUUGGGAAGCCAGAGAGGUGGAGGAGGAGGAGGAGGCGGAGGAGGCGGAGGGCAUUGACCAUGACCUCAGUCUCCGCAGAGGAGAAGAGGGUGGCACUGCUUUCCAUGGAUCUCGCACAUGGAGAUCAGAUUGCAUUGUUUCCCACACACCCGCCCACAGGUGACGACGAAAGAAGAAGACAAGAAGAGACUUAAUGUAACUCUCAACAUGCCAUGCUCGCUAUAGCUAAUGGAAGAAGGUCAAUCCAUGGCCUUCACUGGCAUCACCGGCGGCAGCUGCACCAUGAACAAAGGAGCAUCGCAGCCGUUGGUCGAGGGGAUGGGACAAGCCCGGCGAGGUAAUAAGUCCUUUCCGCCGCUUCGCGUCGGAAAAGAGAGGGAGAGCGGCAGCGCCGGCCUCAAGUAGAAGUUCCUCGGCGACAGAACGCGGACGCCUCACCGUCGAUGAUCUUUUGCUGUGUUUUCCCCUUUUCGUGGAUUUUUAGAUCGGCAGUUCAUUACGAGGGUCGAUUGCUGGGCGGAAGCAAGUUCGAUUCAAGUCGGGACCCAGGGAAACCUCCGGCUUUCAGUGCUGCCAGUGGACUGCUGUUCAAGGCAUUUCUGAUGCUGCUCUGAACUUUGAGGUGGAACUGAUACCAUGGCUGACAGUAAUGGACAUUUGCAAGGAUUGUGGAAUAGUUAAAGAAAGUUUUAUCUAGCUUUCUAAAAGUCUGUUGGUUUGCCAUUAAAUAAUAUAUGUAUUUUUCCAAUAUUCUAACUGGUUCAUUUUCCAAAGUGUACAGUCAAGCAUUGUCUCAUCUGACACUCUUAACUUGAUGGCACCACUGCUGCAGAGACUCCUAAAUGAUGGUUCUGUGUUUUGCAUCAAACAGAGUAUUUAUUUACAAGUAGAAAAUUAAUUUUUGUUCAUGAUGUUUUAUUUUAAGACCAAAUCUAACAAGUUGCACAUCAUCCAGGGCAAUUUGUAUCCAGCAUUUACAAAGAUUGUCAAAGCCAUGAGAACAGGGGAGAAGGCUUCUGUCACCAUUCGGCCACAAUGUAUGGUCAACCACCGAAGAUUGUUCCUGUUUGUGAUCGAGAAGAAAAUUGUGGAUUGUGGAUCCUAUUAAAUUAUUGUGACAAAACCAAACCUGAUGAUCUGAUUCACAAACUCAACUCUGAUAAAUAUGGCCUAUUUGGACAAUGUACCAAUGUGUUUUUGGGGCAUUAGCACA